UACGGGGGGGGCAAGCGUUGUUCGGAAUUACUGGGCGUAAAGGGCUCGUAGGCGGCGCGGUAAGUCGGGUGUGAAAUCUCGGAGCUUAACUCCGAAACUGCAUUCGAUACUGCCGUGCUUGAGGACUGGAGAGGAGACUGGAAUUUACGGUGUAGCGGUGAAAUGCGUAGAUAUCGUAAGGAAGACCAGUGGCGAAGGCGGGUCUCUGGGCCAUAACUGACGCUGAGGAGCGAAAGCGUGGGGAGCGAACAGG
rnacentral:rRNA from 1 species